CAUCGGGGUAAGCAUGCCAGUUCCUAGGCUGUUGACUUGUCUUUUGUGUCGUCAACCAGACUUUGUGCUUUUGUUAAUAGGUGGAGGUAGACCAAUUGGCAUACACAAUGUUGGCUAUAAGCAAUAAAUAUACACGUAAUCAUAGCGUCACCAUUCGUGUCGCAUGCGAAGUCGUACAGUGGAGAAUGAUAACUAGUGGCUUUAAAAUAUGAAUCAUGGGUUACCUACCUUUGUUGUCCUUCCUCCUGGUAGACUGCCACCGGGAUGGAGAACCACGGGCUACUUCCCCAAUACUCUCUGAUGACGUCUCCCCAACCUGGCUAUUCUGAUUGGCGCACUGUACGAAAAGGGGACGUCCCGUAUGGCUAUACAUGCAACGGUAGCUAGAGUUAGAAAAAAAGGCAAGGCCCGGAUGUUGAAAUUGUGCAAAAUUAUACAAUUGUAUUUUAUUCGCGUUUGCUCGACGAUUUAUGGAAACACUGUUAAAAGCUUGUGCGUAAUGUCCCGUUGGCGACCGAUUGAUCGGCGCAAACUUUAUUGCCAGUUAUUGACUAAGUUGGCCGACCAGGGAAAACCAGUCGUGGGCUGUAAAGGGCCUCGAGCACGACUGAAAAACCUCCUGACCAUAUGGAUAUCACCAUUGCUAGACUUGAUCUGAAAUAAAUUCGAGUAGAGACCACCCCCCAGGCCGUGGCCAUGGUACCCAUGUAAGCCCUGGGGUGGUACAGAAGAAAGGGGGCCUCGACCCCAGGAGAAGGGUCCCCCACAACACCCAAGGUACCGGCAGCCACGGCCUGACAGCCUUGCGGCGCCUAGGGGAGUGAUCUCCUCUGGGCCCCGAGGGACAGGAUGGUUAUUGAUUCGGAAGAGCAGGAGGAGAUUACGAGUAUCUACCUUCUGAGGCUGCAGCAAUAUCCCCUGACCCAAGGCCUGUACCUAAAACGAUACAAAGUCACCGGUGAAGUGUUUGUUAGAGAUGUCCUUAUCAACCAUUGGAACAGAAGAAGAAUUCCUCACUACUGGCAGGCUGUCAGAACAUACUCUCUAAUAGUUAUCUAUGUGGGACUGAUACCGGUGUGGAACAGCCGGUCAAUCUUAAAGGACUCUGUGAAUGAUUACCUUGCCAAUAGGAUGAUUGAAUAUUAUUGUCUUGCAGACAAGUGGAAGAUGUUAGAAAUGAUUUUUCUUGUAAGUUUCCUCCUAAUACAGGAUGUGGGUGGUGUUUUCAUUUCUAACACAGAGAUGAAAUCAGUCAGAAAGAGUAGAUUCACACAAACAUAAAGGAGUCACACAGAAGGAGGAAGAUUAGCACACCAUGAAGAGUAAGCAAGGUGAGAUCCAUUUUCAUGCAUUUGGAAAGGAGGACACUAAUGUGAUGUGGCUGCAACAGCCUUCGUCAGAGUGUUUCUUAAGUUAAAACAGUGCCACAACAAUGACCAGUUUAUUAAACACUACAGAAGGUGGCUUAUCACUACCCAAACUGUGCAUGCAGCUCCCCUGUCCAACACAACCUGAGUGUGUUAACCCACAGAGACUUAAUAAAUGUGCGUUUAGCCA